rnacentral:ncRNA from 1 species
GGGGGAGUAUGGUUGCAAGGCUGAAACUUAAAGGUAUUGAUGGAAGGGCACCACUAGGAGUGGAGCCUGCGGCUUUAUUUGACUCAACACGGGGAAAACUUACUAGGUCCCAAACAUAGUAAGGAUUAACAGAGUGAGAGCUCUUUCUUGAUUCUACGGAUGGUGGUGCAUGGCCGUUCUUAGUUGGUGAAGCGAUUUGUCUGGUUAAUUCCGUUAACGAACUAGACCUCAUCAUGCUAACUAGCUAUGCGGAGGUAUCCCUUCGCGGCCAGCUUCUUAGAGGGACUACGACAUUUUAGGCCGCGGAUGUUUGAGGCAAUAACAGGUCGGUGAUGCCCUUAGAUGUUAUGGGCCGCCACGCGCGCUACACUGAUUAUUCAAUGAGCUUAUAGCCUUGGCCGACAAGCCCGGGUAAUCUUUGAAAUUUCAUCAUGAUAGGGAUAUAUCAUUGCAUUUAUUGGUCUUCAACGAGGAAUUCCUAGUAAGCGCGAGUCAUCAGCUCGUGUUAACUACAUCCCUGCCCUUUGUACACACCGCCCGUUGCUCCUACCGAUUGAAUGAUUCGGUGAAAUGUUCAGAUCGCGGCGACAUGGGCGGUUCACUGCCCGCGACGUCGCGAGAAGUCCAUUGAACCUUAUUAUUUAGAGGAAGGAGAAGUAGUAACAAGGUUUCCAUAGGUAAACCUGCGGAAG